rnacentral:rRNA from 1 species
UAGAGUUUGAUCAUGGCUCAGAUUGAACGCUGGCGGCAGGCCUAACACAUGCAAGUCGAGCGCGAAAGUCUUCGGAUGAGUAAAGCGGCGAACGGGUGAGUAACGCGUGGGAAUCUGCCUAGUAGUGGGGGACAACAGCCGGAAACGGCUGCUAAUACCGCAUACGCCCUACGGGGGAAAGGGGGGGAUCUUCGGACCUCUCGCUAUUAGAUGAGCCCGCGUCGGAUUAGCUAGUUGGUAGGGUAAAGGCCUACCAAGGCUACGAUCCGUAACUGGUCUGAGAGGAUGAUCAGUCACACUGGAACUGAGACACGGUCCAGACUCCUACGGGAGGCAGCAGUGGGGAAUAUUGGACAAUGGGGGCAACCCUGAUCCAGCCAUGCCGCGUGUGUGAAGAAGGCCCUUGGGUUGUAAAGCACUUUCAGUGGGGAGAAAAAUCUGGAACUUAAUACGUUUUGGAAUUGAUGUUACCCACAGAAGAAGCACCGGCUAACUCCGUGCCAGCAGCCGCGGUAACCG